rnacentral:rRNA from 1 species
UACAGAGGGAGCGAGCGUUGUCCGGAAUUAUUGGGCGUAAAGAGCUUGUAGGCGGUUUGUCGCGUCUGCUGUGAAAUUUCGGGGCUCAACCCCGAACUUGCAGUGGGUACGGGCAGACUAGAGUGUGGUAGGGGAGACUGGAAUUCCUGGUGUAGCGGUGAAAUGCGCAGAUAUCAGGAGGAACACCGAUGGCGAAGGCAGGUCUCUGGGCCAUAACUGACGCUGAGAAGCGAAAGCGUGGGGAGCGAACAGG